ACUGAUGGUAUAAUGCCUAGCUGAUACUCAUUUUCUGUGUACCCGGCAGCAGGUCUGUGGUGUAACACAGUCACCCAUAACACAAGUGGGGUUUUUUGUUUUGUUUUGUUUUUGGCUACUGCCAGUAUUUCCACUCUGAGGGCUGUGUUGCUUAGACUUAAGAAGUCAUAAUGAAAGAGGAGUGGAAGGGAAUGGUUCAACAUUCAAGGGCUUGUUUUCUCUGGAUGAGAAGGUAGAAGAAUGACUGCUUAACUCAAGUACGCCUGGAGUUUCUAGGGAUUACCAGCUUCACCUAGAAUUCAAGGAGAACAAAUUCAAGACUCAUUGAACUUAGAUCAAGACCUUUAAGCGUAUGGUUGAGCUGAAGCUUCUGAAAUCCACAGUUUCAGAUGUAUGGCUGUAUUUGAAAUAUAACAAUACUUCUUAAUCAAGACAUGGAAGUCUUGCAGAAUACCCACAGAACAGGUUGAGAAGCAGGUGAACUUGUACCACAGGCAACAAAAGCCUCUAAGCUUUUACAGCCUGGUGGAUAACACAAGAUGAGCUCCUACUGCGGUGUUAGGCUAACUGUGUCAGUAGCGCUGCUGUUUUCUUUAUCAAUAGGGAUUGACUCCUAUGUGUGAGGUAUAGCUUUGUGUUUAGUAUAUAAGUAUAUAAAGUAUCUAAGUUUCUGUAAUUACUUCAAUUAACAACGUCAGUGCCCAGAUAUCCUCUAGCAGUUUUUCAUACUCCUGCCUUUUCAGCUGGCUUCAUCUGUCCAAGUUGAAGCGUGUGCCUCUCUGACUUUGUUCAGUACACAAUUGAGGAGAUGAAAUUGAGUUACCUAGUGGUUGCAUUUAGCCAUCUGUUCACAUGGAUCCCUGGCUCACUGAUUUACUCUUUGAUUAGUUUUUCAUUUUUUUCUUUCUCUUCUUUCAGAUAAACUUUUAUUCUGAUAACUGAGAUUUUUUGGAAACUCAUUCUCAUGUCUUUGCAUGUUGUUACAAAACUCACAGGGAACUAUACGGUAGCAAAUAAAAUGGAGUUGAGGCAGCACGUGAAACAGCUGUAAGAGGUUAAGGUAUACAGAAAUGUGGGGAAAGCGGACAGGAUUUCCCCACAGGCAGAUGGAAGAUGUUGUGGGUGGGAGACUGGGGAGGAGGGUUAUAUCCCUCAGCUAUGAUACUCAGCUGGACUCCUUGAAGCCAAUAUCAGUGGUACUCCUUAUGCAGGAAAGCACUUGAGUUUGCCUCAUUAUAUUCAAUUGCUGCUGGCUGCAGAGAGAAGAGCAGAGGUAACCUGCCAGCUUUGAAUGAGAUACCUCAGGUAUCGGAAGCAAUUGAGGCAUAGAAGCACAGAGUAUCGUCUGACCUGCUGAGACCAACCUUGUUUCUGGAACCGAACUGGUAGGCUGUGUUGUAAAUGCAAGCUCAGGUUUUCCACACUCCAGGCACUCAGUAGUUUAGACUAAUCCCCAAAUACAUGUUUAAGUACAUGAGGGCCAAGCAGCAUGAUAAACAGGAAAGAAGACAAGGCUUUAGAGCGAUUUAAAUGACUUGGUGACCUGUGUCUGUCUGAAUAAAUAUUUUUAGAUGGCCCAAAGCAAGUUUAGACAUCUAGGGCUAACCACCUGUGCAUUCUGAAUAGGCAGCUACAUCUUAGACAGCAGUGGCUCCUGGUUACCGUAGCAUAUUAGCAACUUGGUGCAACUCUGAGCACACUGCAGUGGUGAAAAGGACCAAGUGAACAGCAGCGAUGAACAGAGGAAUAGCUCUUAGGGAUGGUGUUAUGCCUUUGAGCACAACUUGGUACAAAAUUCCAGGCCAGAACUGAAAUGCUCUGUGCUUGUUCCAAACUUUGAAUAGGGCACUGGAACAAAAAAAAAAAAAAAAAAAAGCGUGUACAAAAAACCACAAUGUAUUUGAUGGCUGUUUGUCAGUGGUGGAUAUUAGGAGCACAGUGUGUUUAGUGUGUCCACAUGAUUAACCAGUAUCUUGCUGGUUGUUGGUACCUUUACUUGCAGGAAGUUCUAUAAUACCUUUUUCAUCUAAUGUGGAAACAUAAUAAACAUGGCUGUCUGAAAGCUGAAGCCAGACUAAUUCAAGUUAAAUAUAAAACAAAUUUUUGUUAGUUAAGUUGAUUAACUGUUAGACCAAAAUGUCAAGAUAACUGUGGAGUCUGUUUCCCUUAAUUCCCUCAGGUUAAGACUAGAAAAUAUAAUUUGAUCAAAAAAGUUUUGGGUUUAAACAUGCAGGUAAUUGGUUAAAAUUUCAAGUGCUAUCUCAAGUAGGAAAUUGUUACCCUGUAACGACAUUCUUUAGUUCUAAUAUGUGUGAUCAGUUAUGGGGAAAGAAGAACAAAACAUUUUUCUAUGUCACUGAAAAAUUAUAUUCUGUUAGAUUUUGGUCUGGAGAUGAAAAACUCCUUUGAUUUUUUAACUCCUUACAAAUAAAUGCAUUUCUUUUUAU